UAAUGGCAAGAUAGAACUUGCAGUGGGCAUUCUGUGACCUUGAGUAAAAAAGUAACUCACCAAAAGGCACGGCAAAAAUACAGAGGAACCUGAGUCUUCAGUAACACAGCAGUUCUGUAGAGCUUUCUGAAAGACUUGAGGCAUGAAGUAAAGAAAUUCCUCUCAGAGCUUUGUGGUGCCAUGGGCAGCAGCCCUACUUCUUGUUUCCUCAGUGGAGAAAACACUGCCUGGAGUAGCUGAGUAGAUAUGAUUCAAACUUGGGACCUUGAACUUGCCAGGCAAGCAGCAGCAACACUAAACGAAAUCCCGGGCCUGCAUUCAUCUUAUUUUUGAUCUCACAUCCUAAAGACACUCAUGAAUGAAGAUGUUCCGAAAUGCUUCAGAAAAAGGCAAAGAUGAUGAAAUAAGUGUGUUCAGCAUG